AACGAACGCUGGCGGCAUGCCUAACACAUGCAAGUCGAACGAGACCUUCGGGUCUAGUGGCGCACGGGUGCGUAACGCGUGGGAACCUGCCCUUAGGUUCGGAAUAACUCCCCGAAAGGGGUGCUAAUACCGGAUAAUGUCUUCGGACCAAAGAUUUAUCGCCUUUGGAUGGGCCCGCGUUGGAUUAGCUAGUUGGUAGGGUAAAAGCCUACCAAGGCGACGAUCCAUAGCUGGUCUGAGAGGGUGAUCAGCCACACUGGGACUGAGACACGGCCCAGACUCCUACGGGAGGCAGCAGUGGGGAAUAUUGGACAAUGGGCGAAAGCCUGAUUCAGCAAUGCCGCGUGAGUGAUGAAGGCCUUAGGGUUGUAAAGCUCUUUUACCCGGGAUGAUAAUGACAGUACCGGGAGAAUAAGCUCCGGCUAACUCCGUG
rnacentral:rRNA from 1 species